rnacentral:rRNA from 1 species
UACGGGGGGGGCAAGCGUUGUUCGGAAUUACUGGGCGUAAAGGGCUCGUAGGCGGCCAACUAAGUCAGACGUGAAAUCCCUCGGCUUAACCGGGGAACUGCGUCUGAUACUGGAUGGCUUGAAUCCGGGAGAGGGAUGCGGAAUUCCAGGUGUAGCGGUGAAAUGCGCAGAUAUCAGGAGGAACACCGGUGGCGAAGGCGGGUCUCUGGACCGAGACUGACGCUGAGGCGCGAAAGCGUGGGGAGCAAACAGG